rnacentral:sRNA from 2 species
CUUCCGUAGGUGAACCUGCGGAAGGAUCAUUAAUGAAUUGUGAGGGCUGUUGCUGGCUAAAUGGCAUGUGCACGCCUUUAACUUUCUUUCCACCUGUGCACUCUUUGUAGGCGCAAGUCUAUGAUUUACAAACACUAAUUAAUGAUAUGAUGGUUGGCUCUAAUAUAAUACAACUUUCAACAAUGGAUCUCUUGGUUCUCGCAUCGAUGAAGAACGCAGCGAAAUGCGAUAAGUAAUGUGAAUUGCAGAUCUCAGUGAAUCAUCGAAUCUUUGAACGCAUCUUGCGCUCUUUGGUAUUCCAAAGGGCAUGCCUGUUUGAGUGUCAUCAAAUUCUCAAAGCUUUGCUUUGGAUAUGAAGAUUGCUGGCCUGGUCAGCUUCUUUGAAAUGCAUUAGUGGGAUCAUGCUAGGUGUGAUAACUAUUAUCACCAGUGUUAGUGUCCUGCUUAACCCCCAAUUUUUUGACCUUUGACCUCAAAUCAGGUAAGACUACCCGCUGAACUUAAGCAUAUCAAUAAGCGGAGGAAAAGAAACUAACAAGGAUUCCCCUAGUAACUGCGAGUGAAGCGGGAUGAGCUCAAAUUUAAAAUCUGGCAGUCUUUGACCGUCCGAGUUGUAAUUUAGAGAAGCGAUGCCGGCGCUGGGCUGUGUACAAGUCUCCUGGAAUGGAGCGUCAUAGAGGGUGAGAAUCCCGUAUAUGACACAGAUGCCAGGGUACAGUGGCACGCUCUCAAAGAGUCGAGUUGUUUGGGAAUGCAGCUCAAAAUGGGUGGUAAAUUCCAUCUAAAGCUAAAUACAGGCGAGAGACCGAUAGCGAACAAGUACCGUGAGGGAAAGAUGAAAAGAACUUUGGAAAGAGAGUUAAACAGUACGUGAAAUUGUUGAAAGGGAAACGCUUGAAGUCAGUCGCGUUGCCGGAAAUCACACUUGCUCUGGCUUGUGGCUCUUUCCUUGGCAAUGGGUCAGCAUCAGUUUUGAUUGUUGGAAAAAGGUCAGAGGAAUGUGGCAUCCUUGGAUGUGUUAUAGCCUCUGAUCAUAUGCAAUGAUUGAGACUGAGGAACUCGGCACUUGUGCUUAGGAUGCUGGCAUAAUGGCU